AUACAGAGGGUGCAAGCGUUAAUCGGAAUUACUGGGCGUAAAGCGCACGUAGGUGGUUCAUUAAGUCUGAUGUGAAAGCCCCGGGCUCAACCUGGGAACUGCAUUUGAAACUGGUGAGCUAGAGUAUGGUAGAGGUAAGUGGAAUUCCAGGUGUAGCGGUGAAAUGCGUAGAUAUCUGGAGGAACAUCAGUGGCGAAGGCGACUUACUGGACCAAUACUGACACUGAGGUGCGAAAGCGUGGGGAGCAAACAGGAUUAGAAACCCCAGUAGUCC
rnacentral:rRNA from 1 species